rnacentral:lncRNA from 7 species
UGUCCCAUUUACUUUAUAAUACACUGUCCCGCAUACUAUGAACAACCUAAGGAUUUACUAGCUUUCUAUUUACCUUGUCCUUGAUUUACCUUUUGGGUUACUAUGGUUAGCUACAUGCUAGCGCUUUACUUUAAUCAAUGAACAUGAUGAGAUACAAUGAUGAUACUAUGAUUUUACUCUGGAUAUGAUGAUAUACUUGUGGCAUUUAGGGGACUCGGGCUGUUUCCCGAGUACCUCUCCGUAAGGACCUGUUCGUUGAGAGACCACCCGGGAUAACAGUGCAACCAUGAGGGUGAAAUGGGGCGCCCUUAGCUAAUUAAUUAGAGGAACUAGAGGUGUAGUUGCUUCGCCGUCGUGCCGUCAAUGGGGUCCAGGCACAGUGCUUGCUCUGCCGAGGCUGGGUGCCGAUGUUCUUUCGUUUUGCUUUUGUUAGUCACCCUCCUGCGGGGAGAGGUACUGUGUUUAUCAAACUGGAGAAACCUAACGGGCGGCUAUGACCUCUAGGGAAUCUUUGUAAAAGCUACGUAGUGAUACCCUGCCGGACCACCUAGGAAGUGAUCAAUGGGGAGUCAUGAUCCUCGGGCAGAACGGGAAUCACGGCUCAUGGGUAAAGUGUGCAACCUCUGCAGAGGGUAAUGAAACUGAUAUAUCAGCCGUGCUCACGGUUAAGAGCGGCCUUGGGAUCCUCUUUGAUUAGAGAUACAAAUGAUCUGAGAUACAAUGGUUCUAUUUAUUAUUUUGGUUCGAUGACGAUAAUGAUGUUCCUCGAGGAGGAAGCUGUUCACGGGUUGGCUAUUACUAAAACUUGGCUUCCACUAAUAAUAAUAACCUGACCAACUAAAAGCAACUGCUUGACCUUAACCCCAAAUAAAGCUAGUCCACUACAGCCAAACGGGACAUUUGCUGAGUACGUUGAUGUGUACUCACCCUUGCUUUCACAAAACACCAGGUUGCCUUUGGUGCAAUCUAUGCUCAGGUAAAGAAGAAGGCGUCGAUGCGAAUCUCCAGGAGUUCCAGGACUUCGACGAGUUCGAGGAUUAGGCUAGCGACCUCCCCCAGUCAGCUGCCUGUGGUGGGUUGUUUACGUUGGCUACGUUUCGUUUCUGUGUACUUUGAUUUAUAUUUUGUAAAUGGCUCUAGUCUGUAAUAUUACUACUUACUCUUUAUUGAAAUUCGAAGCAUUGUGCUAUGAUGAGUCAUUUAUGUAAUCGCUGUGUACGUGAAUUUCUGAUCCUGGCACGUACAUGGUUCGCAUUUGGUUUACCUUCAAAACCGGGUGUGACAUAAGUGGUAUCAAAGCCUUGCUGACUGUAGGACCGCUAUCCUAGAGUAGCACUGGUCGUUUUAAGGACUUAUUGAUUGUUACUUCACCUCAUCCUUGAUUCUGCUUCAAAAUAUUAGUCACCUCGACUAAUUAUAUGGUGUGCUCCUAUAUGCCCCCUUGCCAAAAUUAAUUUAUUCUAGUAUGGUCUAUACUUUUCUCACCCUAUUAGAUCUGAUCUCACUCUUGUGCUUGCGACAUCUUUGUAGAUGCCCCCUGACCAAUAACCUUUUGUCUGUUGGGACUCUUCCCACCUCUGUCAUUAAUUUGCUACCCUUUGACUAUUUUUAUAUCCUUAGUAUUGACUAGGGGUGAAAACGGGCGGAUACGGACGGAUAUUAGCUCAUCCUGUAUCAUACCCUAAUGUAUUUAAAACGGAUUCGGGAUCGGAUACGGAUAGUUAGAAACGGGAUGGAUACGGAUACAGGGACCGGAUAUUUAUCCGGGCGGAUAAGUGACGGAUACGGAUAUUAUUUGAUCGGAUAUCGGAUACUUGUCGGAUAAUGCAUUAAUUGGUUAUCAAAAAAUAUUCUUGUUCGACCACGAAAUUGCAAGUAAAUUAAUACUAAUAAGCAUUUAAUAGAAGAUAAUCUCAAGUUCCCACGUAAAAAUGGUAAAGUGAAGUAUUGAUUAUGUUGAAACUUGGAUACUUAGAGUGAUUUCACGUGUAACUCACGCAAUAAGUGAAAAUAAAAUAGAAGAAACGUUGACAUCCUGUGGAUUUUAUGGUCCCAUUAUUUUUUAUGACUAUAUGUGGCCAUAUGUUGUACCUUCGUAUAAUUUCAUAGAUUUCUGAGGCUAUUUAUACAUUAUUAAUUUCUUUCUACAUAAAAUCAUCAAAGUAUAAUUAAAAUUCAUAAAUACACUAGUUUUGAUCCAAAAUUGCAAAAAGCUUACCAAAACAAAUAAACAUUCUAUUCAAAUAAAACCUCAAGUCGCCACAUGAAAAUGAUAAGUGAAAUAUUAAUUAUGUUGAAACUUCGAUACAUAAAAUGAUUUCACAUGUAACUCACGCAAUAAGUGGGAGUAGAAUGGAAGAAACACCAACAUCUUGUGGAUUUUAUAGUCCAAAUAUUUUUGAGAACUAUAUGUGGAUAUAUGUUGUGUCCCCGUAAAAAUUCAUGAAUUUUUUAGGCUAUUUGGUGUAUUAUUAAUUUCUUGUUGUAGAAAAUCAUCAAAAUACAAUUAAAUUCAUAAAAAUAUUGUAGCGUCGAC